GACGUAGCUUAGUUUGGUAGAGCGCUUGGUUUGGGACCAAGAGGUCAAGGGUUCAAAUCCCUUCGUU
rnacentral:tRNA from 1 species